rnacentral:rRNA from 1 species
AGCUCCAAUAGCGUAUAUUUAAGUUGUUGCAGUUAAAAAGCUCGUAGUUGGAUCUAGACGAGGCCCCGCCGGUCCGCCGUCUCGGUGUGCACUGGCGCGGGCCCGCCUUGCUGUCGGGGACGGGCUCCUGGGCUUGACUGUCCGGGACCCGGAGUCGACGAGGUUACUUUGAGUAAAUUAGAGUGUUCAAAGCAGGCCUACGCUCUGAAUACGUUAGCAUGGAAUAACACGAUAGGACUCUGGCCUAUCCUGUUGGUCUGUGGGACCGGAGUAAUGAUUAAGAGGGACGGUCGGGGGCAUUCGUAUUUCGUUGUCAGAGGUGAAAUUCUUGGAUUUACGAAAGACGAACUUCUGCGAAAGCAUUUGCCAAGGAUGUUUUCA